CAUGCGGAAUAGGAAGGUCAGCUCUGUGAUUCGAGUGUUGAGGAGAUGACAAAAUAUCUAAAAUGAGUAGUUACGUCAUGAAAGGAGCUCCUGAGACGAUGGCUAACAUAUAACAUUGGGACUGCUCUCCGACUAGAAAUGAGAACUUCAGCCACGCUCUUGAUGAAUUAUGACUUUGAAAAAUCGUAGAGGCACUGUUAUGAAAGAACUAUACAAAUACUUUGAAUAUUAUAAAAAAAUGUGUUGUGUUCAAUAAGAGGAUUGGAUUACCUACUACAAUCCUUGUAAACAGUGAGGAUGAUAUCAAAUAAGCUAAGAUAUAUU